ensembl:snRNA
GUGUGAAGGACCAUUAGCAGUCCUCUUUAUAAGGAUGGAGGCCCUAGUGGCCUGUACAGCAUGCAUACGGUUAGGGCACUGCCACCUACUUUGUGGCAUCUUACCAUGUUU